rnacentral:tRNA from 1 species
GGGCGGUUAGCUCAGUUGGUUAGAGUGCUGCUUUCACACGGCAGAGGUCACAGGUUCGAGUCCCGUACCGCCCA